rnacentral:lncRNA from 1 species
AUUACUCCUACACUUACCUAUCAAAUGACGAAUUUUUCCUUUUUUUUUUUUGAUGAACAAAAAAUGAGGUGGAACAAAUAAAUGUCUCAUGGUGAAAGAUGAGUAUUUGAAGGAAAGCAGAUAUAUUUUAUAAUAGCAAAUCAUUAUAAUUAACUUUUCUUUUUACUCCUGUUCCUAGUUCUUGUAACAUUUUAUAAUUCUAACAUUAAUACAUUUAGUAUACACUGACUUUGUCUUAUACAGAAAAUGUUAUUGGUUACUCUAUAUUCCAUAAAGUCAAUGUUUACAUUCUGAUAUCUUCCUUGAACACAUUUAUGAAUAGCUCUAUCACUAAUAAGCCAUACUCUUCAAUUACCCCUAUAUGUAAUUGUGUUCUAUGCUAUAACUUUUUCUUGAUUAACUUUAUAGAAACUACAUCUUCAAUGAGAUAACUUAAUAUAAUUAUUUUUAUUAAAAUUGGAGUAUGGAUUUAAAAAAAAUUGUGCUUAAAAUUUGUAUAUAUAGUUAACGUGGUAAAACUAUUACUUAUUGAGGCAUAGAACUUCACCUUUUUGCAUUUCAGUUCGCUUUCUGCAGAAACUGAAAAUCUUUUUUUAUUUUUGCUACCGGGCUUCAGAGCCAGUGGGGAGAAAUCACAAGUGGUUUUCUCUUGGCCUUUCAGCCUUCUAGGGGACCUUGCCUCCGCUACAGAAAACUGCAAUGGCCAGAUACUGGAGGUUAAGAGAUUCUAGAACACGAAACAUUUAUAGAAGAUUCAAGCCUCGAGAUGGUUGUAGCCCUGGGAACUCCUGGAGGGAGACAAUUCCACAUGCAUUUAUCAGAUCCUCAGGUGACAUGCAAGGGCCCAAGAUAAAGUCACACACAGGAAUGAAAGCCAGGCCACAGCAGUGAAACCUCAAGAGUUCCAUGGAUGGAUGGUGUGGUGGUGGCUGAUGGAGCACCUGUGUUUUCUUGGUGUUAAUUGUUAGGCCAAAAUUAGCACAAGCAACAGAGAGUCAAUCCUUGCUGUGUUGUAUCUCAACUUCAGAGGCUGCAUGGAGUGCACACUCAUCUGCAAACAGAAAAUCAUGCACCAGCACUCCCUCCACUUCGGUCUUGGCUUGUAGCCUUUUCAAGUUGAAGAAUUUACCAUCAGUGCAAACUAAAAGGGAACCAAGCAACAAAGAAAUAAAGGGAAUUUUGUGAUGCUGGCCUAGUGUUAU